GAAAACAAAACUAAACUUGUACUAUUAAAAUAAGCAGAACAUUGUUUAAAAUAAGCAAAACAUUAAAUUCACAAAAAAGAUGUGCUUGGCAAAUUACAUUAAAAAUUACAUUGUUUUAAAGUGCUAACAACUCCAUCGGGGAUACAUCACUAUUAGCCUCAAAUAUCAACUUAUCACCUUCACGAAGUGCAUGGAUCUGACAAAACUCUCUCCAUCCAUAACUAAAUUUAACAGAAGGUUUGGAAGGUGUCCUUAUGAGAAUUUUGCACUUUACUUCACUUUUAGGUCCAUGCAGGUGAGUAUACUUUAAACUGCUUUCCCGAAUGUAGCUGGCAAAUGCAAUAAGAAGAUCCUGCAAACAAACACGUGUAUAAAUAAUUGAAUGAAGUAAUAUAAAGUAAAGAUAUUAUGAAAAGAAAAUUUAUCAGGUGGUUUGAAUUGCACUGAUAGCGUGAUAGUAUGAUAGUAAAAUGAACAUACGGACCAUGAAUGAGUGGGUCACGAUUAUGGAUACGUUCAUAAAAUUUGUAUACAAAUGCAUAAUUUGAUUUUCCCUUAAACACAAUAAACUUAAAACAGCUAUUUCCUACAUAAUAAAAAUAUACAUCGUGAUUUCCGCGAAGGCCAUAAAAUUCUUGUAUAUCGACCACCCUCCAGACAGCUCAAGCCGAACCAAAUCCAUAUUGCACUUAACAAUGUGUCUAUUGUUAUCGUCAUCCACCAAAAAUCAAGUAUGACAAAGUUCAUUGCCAAACUCUAUGGCAAAGGCCUGAUCAACUAAAGCAUGAUCCUUUACAAAAACAAAAACAUGUUACAUCUUCAUUAACAGUAAUAUGAAAUUAAAAAGAAAUAAAAGAAAGCAUAUCACGUCUAAGAUGUGCAUUGGGUGGAACUUUCCCUUAGAUUCCAUCAUGAAUAGUGUCAUCCAAAUUCGGAAAAGUUGGUACUAAAACAGAAAAACCCAAAAAUCAGAAAAAAUAAAAUCAGCCAAAACCAAAUAAAUAGACUAUUGAGAAGGAAAAAAUAUUAACAUGCAGAGAAGUGUGAAAAAAAAACACCAAAAAAUGAAUGAGAAGUGUGCACAUUGAAAAAAUACAGAACAACAAAAAUAAAAUAUGGCAAAACCCAAGAAACAUACUAUUGAGAAGGAAAAGAUAUUAACAUGCAGAGAAGUGUAGAUAAAAUACCACAAAAUGUAUGAGAAGUGUGCACAGUGGAAAAAUACAAAACAGGAAAAGUAAAAUCAGACAAAACCCAAAAAAUAGACUAUUGAGAAAGGAAACAUAUUAAGAUGAGAACUGUAGAUAAAAUACCACAAAAUGUAUAAGAAGUGUGCAUUGUGGAAAAAUACAAAAUAGGAAAAGUAAAAUCAGGCAAAACCCAAGAAAUAGACUAUUGAGAAGAUAAACAUAUUAACAUGCAGGGAAGUAUAGAUAAAAUACCACAAAAUGUAUGACAAGUGUGCACAGUGAAAAAAUACAAAACAGGACAAAUAAAAUCAAGCAAAACCCAAGAAACAAACUAUUGAGAAGCAAAAUAUAUUAGCAUGUAGAGAACUUAAUGAAAAGAUAAAGGACAAAAAUAUGCAUCGAAAAAAAUUAAAAAAGGAAAUACAAACAAACCUAUUUGGUUGCAUGGCCUUCCUUGUGAACAAAGGCAAGAUGUGUGGACGUAGUUUGCCAUAAUAGAACGCUCCAAAAGAACAAAAUAAUUAGGGAUUAGAAUGCAAAACAAAAAACUCUUCAAAGGAAAAGAAUAGGUUUAAAUGAGAUGUACCAUCAGAAAGAAGAUAUCAAUGAGAUGUGCAGAGUGCAUGUACAAUCAGAAUGAAGAUAGCAAUGAGAAAUCAUCAUUGCACUUAAUUAAU
rnacentral:lncRNA from 1 species